UCAUAUGUAUCAUUUUGGUCAGCGAUUUCUGAUUAAACAUGAAUGAGAAAAUUGAGAAGUUCACUUUUUCUUCGAUAAAAUUACCAAUCUAUAGAUGGUU
ensembl:ncRNA W07E11.6 ncRNA